GGGGCCUUACUUGUUCAGGGGGGAGAGUGGAGCCUCGAAAAGCACUGUUGAGAGGAAGAUCCUUGGCCCCUCUUCAUUCUCUACAGGGUUCCAAACCUUUCUUCAACAUAGGUGACAACGAGCCAGGCAGAGAUGGAAGAGAUCAAACACGGGAAUAAAAAGCAAGCUCGCCUUCCUUUUUGAUCAUUUUGAUAGAGGGGGAUGAAGAAAGUGGACAAAAGAGACUCGCAUUUCUCAUCGAACAAAUACAGGAAAAGAAUCAUAUUGAAAACGCUCCUAACCCAACCCCUUCCUUCGUAGAGCCCGUGUAUUGUAAGUGAUCCGAACCUGCCCGGAGCGAGCCUCCCAUAGAGGCAAGUGAAGUUGGUGAGCCGUAUGAUGGGCAACUAUCUCCUGCGGUUCGGAGAGGACUCAGCUGUUAGUUAGUACCCCCUUGGUUUUGGGGUGGACCUUUUCACUCUAUUUUAUUAUAUACGCUUAGCGAAAAGAAUGUUUUUUGAUACACCUAGGACAUGGAUUCUAUAUGAACCAAUGGAUCGUGACAAGUCAUUACUACUAGCAAUGACUUCCUCUUUCAUUACUCUCAUUCUUUCCAUAUCCCUCUCCUUUGUUCUCAGUUACUCAUCAAAUGGCACUCAGUUCAUAUCUUUAAGUUCGAUCAUUGACAAGGUUCAAAGAAAGGGUGGGCCAUUGAUAAAGAAUCGAUGGAAAACCACAAUGCUAGCAGAUGGCGGGCCUCCGCUUUUCUUUUCAUUAAUGAAACCCGCCAGUUAUUAUUAUUAUGAACUGAAAUAAAAGGACAAAAAAUUUGGAUUUAGAAGGCUUGUUCAAAAGAACAAAAUUCUUGUGCUUAUGUGGAUGCGUCGCUCAAUUUCCCAAGACUAGAGAAGGGGAUUUUCCUACAAAAGAUGAAAAGUGCUUAGCUUCAAAGGAUGACUUGUUUACUUCCUUUGAGCCCCGUCACUUCUUUUGCGACUGCUAAAGAUAUUUGGUUUGACGAAUGUAAUCCCAAGAUCUUUCUGGAUACUAUCUCUGUAUCCGUCCAUUAGGUGGAGUCCACUUGAGUGUACUACUUUGCGACGAUAUGCCGGACUUGCUCAAUUGGUGAACUUGAGAAUGUCGAGUUAUUGUUGUUCAUAUUGUCUGAAAUCCAUUUUCAACCCUCGCGAAUCACGAAUACGGGAGCUGCUACUGAGUACUGAGUGAACGGGCGAAAGGAGAUUGGAGAGAAAUCCGUUCCACCUUCAUCGCAUAUAAAUGGCUUAGCGAACUCAAGAGCACCUUUGUCAGAGACUAGCUACUUUUCAACCGAUAUAGUUAGGUCAUAGUUAGGUCGCAGUCCUAUCAGGGGGCCGUAUACACGUUUGCAACCUUUUCGUCGGCGAUAACAAUGUCGUCACCGAGAAUGGCUUUUUGAAAACCUUUGCCCUCUAUAUACUUUAUAUACUUUCUCAGCCGCACACUAGCAUACUAGCAUAGGGUGAUUUAGUUUAAAUGCAGGCGUCAAACCAUUUAGCCGGGUUGGGGGUUUGUGAAGUCGGUAUUCGCGAAGGAAGAAUGCUCUUCAUCUCCCCUCUCCGUAAUUAUCUCUGGAAGUCGCCCCUACAACCCCUUGACUCCUGCGGGCUACGUUCAAACGAAACGAGAGUAAGGCUUUCUCCACGAGAGAACAGACUGACUACUUGGAGAGGGGCGCCUAGUUAACGGAGUUCACGAGGAAGCGACUUUUGUUAGUGAAGCGAGGCCUCACACAUCAAACCAUAUCUUUAUCUUACUGAACCGAGUGAGGUAUAGACAGAUUAUACUACAGCUUGUGUUGUGGCGAGAUGAACGGACGAAGCCAGAGGCUCCCUUGCUUGCUUUUGCUUACCGGACAAGAAGGAUUAUUAGACCUAUUAAUUAUUAAUGGACUAUAGCGAACCAUAAGGAAGACCCUCGUGGUCUCCCUUUGACUUGCUAGGAAACUGAGAUCACACUCUUUCCUACUCCAGACAAGUAGUACGGGAUACGGACUAUAACUCAAGCCUACUGCUCCGUACAGAGUCAGGAUUCAGGGAUUUCAAACACUCUAAUGGACUAUAACAGCUUAGUAGUACAAGUACAAUAGCCCUUAGUGACUCUUGGCUGCCUUCAGUGAUAGACGCAAUUACUUGAACGAUUCUAUUCCUACGAAUAGAGACCGCAGAGGAAGGCGUUGUCACGAGACCCGCCCUCCGGGAUAGAAAAAGAAAAAAAUCCUAAGUGGCUUCUUGUUUGGGGUAUCUGAACCGUAUUCUUGUUUGGAUGCUUGAAUCGAACUCAUCUGUUUAUUUACGGCAAACCUUGACCAUCGUUUCCAAGGGAAAUUGAUUGAAUGCACGAUCACGAGCCAUUCCCACCGACCCAUCAUGAGGUCACAUCUCAUGAGUCUAUCGUGCCAAAACUACUAAUGCUAAGAAUGCUUCGCCCUGACUAGCUUGUCUGGGAAGGUAGGUAAGUAAGAGGCGGAUCUAGGGCUUCUUCGACUUCUUAUUCAUAGUUGAGAUACUCCCAACCUCCACCAGCAAGAAGCACCGGAGUUAAUCGUAACGUUUCGAUCUGGGGGUCAGGAGCAGAGGUUGUAGUAUCGUAGCCAAUGCUCUUUGAUCACCGUCACGAGAUUUGACUAUAGCUAAUCAAUCUCCUGCUUUCAUGGAGUUUGGAAUCUUAAUGCUAUACUUAGAGCGGAUCUAGAAAUCCCCAGGUAGUGGUAGUUGGCUUGGUGAAAUCCGAUAAUCGAUUGGCUUUAGAAAGGCAAAAGGCGGCUUGCCCAACCUAGACAUUGUAACUGAAAGUCCUGCCUACUUCUCUUCUAGGCUUAGGGUAGUCCUAGACUACCUUCUUCUUUGCUGGCUUGGGAAAGACCCGCGGGCUAUGGAUCCCACUAAUAGAAUGGGACUAUAACCAACCUUCCAUGGUCUAGGUUCAAGGACAAUACAGAUUGUGGCUUGGAGUAUCUAAGGAACGGUAGUCGUUUAGUGCGACAGCACUCUGGCUUCAUGGACCUAAUUUUUAGGGACGUACUCGAUAGUGUCCCAGGGGUGACACUACACACUGAAUUGCCCACAACACUAUUUUUCCACAGGGCUGAAUCCAUAGAAACCUUGGCCAUUACAUUAAGCGGCGGAUGAUGGGUAUGCAGGAUCGGUUGCAACGGUUUCACAUUCAUGUGAAUCAAGAGAUUGGAUUGAAAGGCUUUCCAACUAGCCAUAGUACCAUUGCGAGUUGUCCUUCUUCUUUAAUCGGUCGCACCAACUUGUUCCCGCUUUGGGAAGGGAACUUGGUUGGAAUUCCAAUUUCAAAGAAAACACAUGCGAAAGGCAAGACAUUGAGAAGGGCUUGUUCUUGAAUUAGAUGGAACAUUAGCGGUCUUAGGUGAUUUAUCAUUGCCCCAGGAGAGGUUCAAAAGUAGGGCUAUUCAAAGAACAGUGAGGCAAAGCGAGUGACAGGUAUGCAAUCCCCAGUAAAGUAAGCCAAGUAACGACUAUCUACAACCUCUUCUUUCAUUUGUCCUGAAAACAAGCUAUUUGUUCUGAAAGAAAAGCAAGCUAAGACGCUUUUUUCGCGGCAAGAGCGUUGUUGUAGCAUCAACAGGAAAGUUAUUUGGCAGUUGCUUUAGCAGCUCCUUCUCUAAGACCGUCUUCAAUAGCAGCGCUUAUUCCAACAACACCAGCAAGAGCGGAUACUCACCUAAGAGCAGAUAUGCCGACAUCUUUCCACGUUCAAGCAGCUAAUCAGUAAAUGACUUCUCCGUCACUUGUUCUUAUUCUUAAACCCUUCGUGCCCCAUAGCUGUCGUAGUUAGAUAUCAAAGUUCUCCCUCUUAAUGAUAAUUACUUUCCUGGGGCGGUUGUGCAAGACGAAUGCAAGCUGUAGGAUAUUAAUUGAUAAAGUCAAAAUCUUUCUCUAGCUCUAGACUAGCUUUUCCGCAUUGCCCUUUCGUGUCUUAUUCCAGAUCUUUAUUGAAUCUGAAGUUAAGUACUUUCACAAUAUGAAUUACCAAAUCUAUAGGCUAUGUCAAUAGUCAUCGCCUUGUCCGACUUCCGUCUUCCAUUAGCAUUGCCUAUUCGUAAGACAUAUUAUACAAAGUAACCAGAUCCCCUCACUCGAGUUCUUUGCAUUGAGCUCGCUUGGUUCGUCUGUUCAUCGGUCAUUGAAGGAAAGCGUUUAUGGCUAGCGUAAUGUCUUCUGCCUAUCUGUAUUCUAAGAAUGUUCUCUUGCCCCCAGGUGUUCGUCAUGGUCGCGGUAAAGGUUUGUUGGAGCCUGGUCGAGAAGUUCAGAUGUUCAUCCUGCGUGAUGAGGGACAAGCGGUGGAAGAGGAAAGUUUCUUCAUGGAUAUAGGUUUCCUAAUCCUAAGGGAACAAGGGAUCUAAAAUUACCAUUUUCCUAAUGUGUUUUCAUUAGACUAAGGAUAGAAUUCUCCGAGGGUUAGGAAAGUGGAGAUAGGGUAAAAAUCCCAAAGGAUAUUUACAAAGACUACUAAAAAAGAGCACGGACUUGGCUUGGUGUCGGGAAUGGAAGAACAGCAAGAGACAGGGCUAAUCGUUGGUUUUGUCUACUAUAUUAAUUAGAAUUAUGAUUGAUAUCCUCGAGGCGCUUUUCCUUAAGAGACGGGAUAAGAAAGAGAGAGAGCUCGUGGCUGUAUAUUUUUUAUCAAAUUGAUUCCUAACAGGAACAGGAUUGGCAAAUGUCACUGUGCGUAACACAUUUAAUUGGAAGUGGAAUGAAGAUAAUGCGCUUUACUCUUUCAUUUGUAGCUGGAUUAGUCCUUUGGUUGGGCUAACUUGAAUCAGUUUAGUUUUUCACUAAGCCUCAUCUGAGUGCUAUAUACUAUUAGCUCCUUGAUUACUUAUCAAAUAAAAUGAACAUUUUUGAAUCACCACCUACGGACCCUCGAUCUUAUUAGCUUAGUAGCAGCCGUGGAAGUUAUAGUAGUUCUAGCAGAGUAAGCUAGAAGAUGACCAAUCUCCCCAUCAUGAUUCAUGAUUGGUGGCGACUCGGAUGGCAUCUGAUUAACUAGCGCAGGAGAGUGAGUUCCCGCAGGUCAUUUUUUUCUCUUAUGAGGCAAGUCUUUUAGAGCACAAGAACGACUUAGAAUCGGUACCGCCAUCCAUGUUCAAAGAACAGAUGCAGCUAACCAACGGGCAAGCAGGUUCCGCGGGUUAGGAGGCUGCCUUUAAGUGAUAGGGGGGCCCUCAUUUCAUACAAAGGAAAGCAGAAGGAUGGGACUGUCGUGUCGAUCACAUUCGAUUGAGAGUUUUCACCUCUUUGAGCUUAGGUCAGCAAGAAGUCAUCCCCGAGGAAAGAAUGAGUCUUCGGCGAGCCGGUACCCACUACCUGUUCCAGAAACCUCUUUUCUCAUAGCUCAUAGGUAAGUGUGAAAUUAGCCAGUUGUUCCUCUCUUGUUGUUCGAGCUACUUUGUUCCUCAAAUAAGUCGGAUUCGGGAGCCCCUAUUAAUGAACAGGGGAACGGAACCAUAAACUAAGGCGAUCAAUAUUCCUCUUCCGAUUCAUUGACUAUUCUCACCUUCUACCGGUCAAGUUAGUCCGCCCCUCUCCUUUACUGGUGAGCUAGUCCUCGUUCUUUAUUGAUCGAAUACGAGAUCUCGGUAUAUGAUUAUUUAAGGUGUGGGGAGGGAAAGUUUCACAUAAGUUUCCCCAUUCCCGAGUGACAUAAGGGAAAAGGGGUCUUUCACAAUUUGGUUUGGACCCGGCCUGUACUUUUAGUGAGCAACCAAACCUCUCUUCUAUACCCGGGGAGUUACGUUAGCGCUUAAGAAUCUUUCUUUCGUAGGUGAAUCUCGAUGUCUAUUCCUAGCUAAUCAAGAAAGGGUUGUCCUCCCUCUCAAUCAAUGCUGUUCUCCCUCUAUUUCCUUCUUCCGGUGGUUGAGCGAGUCCGUUCUUCGUCCUUUUCAGACGUUAGCGCUUGGUUGUUGCCAAACAAACCCAGUUCCAGUGGACGGGGGAAGAAGAGGAAUCAAAAUCAGAAUCGGAAUCUUGUUCUGAGAAAGGGUAUGUUGCAGGGGAAUCUGGCCCAGUUAAUUAAUCGGGUUUUAGAGAACACGGCCCAAGCCGAAGUCGGUUUCAGACUACUAUCCGGCCCUAGCUGAAUGGUUUGAUUUUUCAACGAAAGAUGGGUUUGAAAACAGGUACCAAAUUGUCUUGAUAAGGUGGGGAUGGUUCUACCCCUUUCCCCAGGAAAUUUCUCUGAUUGACCGAGAUCUCGUGUUCUUUCAAGAGUGAUAUGACACCAUGCUAGUCGGACGGGAAGUAAGGCUUAGGUAGGGCGCCUAGUCGGAAAAGCCGUAAUCAGGUUACCCGAGAUAGAAUAGGGCUCAGUGCAAUAGUCAAUCUAGUAAAUAUAAUAAGAGAAGAAUUAGCGUAAGAAAAGCCUAGCCUUUCCCUUACCGACGAGUGAGUACCCUUUUUUCUCUUUUUAGUUGAGUUGGUGUUCAAUGUGCCCCGUGGGUACAAACAAGAUGGAAAGGGUCAACAAUCCCUUACUUUAGUAAGCAACCUCAGUUCCCUUACUUGUUAAAGCAAGCAAGUAAACUCUCUUACUUGUUCUUGUAAGCUAUUUCUUUCCCGUACUUUAGUAAGUAAGCAUGUAAACGACCAUCUCUCCGCAGAUAAAAGACUAGAGUAGGCCCCAUAGAGAUGUUGACAUCUGGGUUCUAUGAUCUUGAAAAACUAACGGAGAUAAGGUCGAUAGCUUGCUUUCUCGUGAAAGUACGGAAGAAGGUCCCUGAGGUAGAGUCCAUAGGCAAACUUCUUAGGAUGUCUUUGCCCCGUUCCCGAUUCCUUUUGAAGACCCAUAGUAGCCGCAAAGCACCAUUCUGCGCACUCAGAAUAAAAGAGUGAAUUUCCAUAAUGAGUUUCAAAGUGUCUAUGAACAUGAAAAAUCUCCUUUCUACAGCUUACAACUUUCAUCGCCCUUAUAUUUAGCUCUCCAAAGAGCAAUUCUUCUCAAAAGGUGCUGACCAUUCUAAACGUGGCUUCAAAGUUAUUCUUUCUAAGCGCGGAUUCAGUUGAUGAACUGUGCCACCUUCCUUCUACUAGUUGAUUUAACCGCAUCAACCGCAAAGAAAGUGACGACCUAUUCUCUAGCAGCAGCAGGGGCAAGCCUAAACAUCUACACCUUCCAUGGGAAUUUUGGAAGAAUUCCAUUUCCUUAAGGAAUCAGUCCCAAGAGCGGCUACGACUACGAGAGUAGUUACCCUUCUAACCUUAACACCGGUUACGUCCUUCUUCUGUCAUCGGGGAUGGGAACCUUGGUAGGAAUGUUGGAGGGUUCUCGGCAGGUAGGUUUGAUGCUAGCCUUGUUGCCUUGGCAUUGGCUGAUUCAAGACAUCCUCGCAAAGGCGCCAUCUUUCUUAAGUGACUUUUAUAGACCUCUUUUUCUUAAAUACGAUAAUUGGGUUUUUGAGACCACUGCGAUAAAUGAGCUUUUGAGACUCCGUUUUGUUAACAACAGGUACUCUUUCUACCUUACUUUAACAAGUAAUCAAGUAAACUACCUUCACGGGUAAGGAUCAUCUGCCCUAUGAAAACGCAUAGCCUCGAUAGUGGUCUAAGGCAAGAAAGUAUGAUCCGUCACGUGUGCCAAGGAGAUGGCGAUUAACAUUGAAUUCUCUCCUCUUGUUUUAAUAUGAAUUGACUCCGCUUCGGUCACUUUCUUCGUAGGUCCUUAAGCAACUCCUCUUGUCACUAGUCACUAUGGCCGAAGGUUAGCAAGCCUGUCUCUUGAUAUAAAUAGUCAUUCCUUUCUUUCCUUUGUUAGAGAAUCACCUCUCUCUGGUCUGGUAGGAAUUCCAUCUCUUCUGUAGUCAUGCCUGUAGUCAACCAGGGAGUGAGGAAAGCCGCUUUCAAGCCAGUACGGUACCACUCUCUCCUCAAAUCGGAUAUUGGACCCUGUUAUCGAAUAGGUUCUUUUAGCUAGGAAUGGAGUAUAGGUACAAAACCGGUUGAAAGCUCUCCAACGGUAGCUGUCGAACGGUCAAAUCGGCUUGUCUUCGGUCUGUCAAUGAACUUCCUUCUCGCCCUUGAUUACAAAGCACCACAAUCUAAAACUGUCAAAAGAAAUUGAACAUGAUUGUUGCAACUGUUCAUUCCUUAAUUUCACAAUCAUAGAUGUCGUCACACGAGAAUAGGUGGAGGACUUAUUAAAGGCAUAUCUGGGGGAGAGAGAAAAAGAACUAGCAUAGGGUAUGAAAUCCUUGUUGAUCCUUCUCUCCUCUUGCUCGACGAACCAACUUUAGGCCUUGAUUCGUCCUCCGCAAGGAAGGAACGAGUCGGUUCCCCUUUCCGUCUUUCGGUAGCAUAAAGAAAAUAGAUUCAAAUUGACAAACCACCAAAAGAGUGAGAAAAAGGGGGGCAAGUGUACAUUAGGCCAUGUGCAACAAACAAAGUACAAGGAUAGCACCGUACCCUCAUAGUCCUCAAUCUUUGGCACAUCUGGAUCGGCAGAAACUCACUCGGUCUGCGCGUCUACCGGGGCACCAUACUGACUUUUAUAUUUAUGAUAUAAGGAGUGCACUCCACUUCAUAAAGAGUGAAUAGAAUUCACUCUAUACCCAUAUCCCUGGAACAACUGUAAAAUAAACUCCAUCUUAGUCUACCCGACUUUGACUUUGACUUGAAAGAGUAAGUUUUCGCCUCUGUUGUUGAAAAGUCAGGACCCGUUGGGGAAUCUAUUCUAGACGCGCCUGCCGGACCUAAAUCUAUCUUACUCUUUCUUGGUCUCUUCCACGGAUCGGUGGAUAUGAAAUAGAAUGAAUUCAAGGACAAAGUCGCCGGUAUACUGUGAUCCAUACCCACGAAGGGCCAGACAUGAAUCGGAAAGAGUAACUUUCCUCAUAGGAGAAAGGGUGCGCGCUAAAGCUAGAGCAGCUUUUUUUCGCGAUAUAGGUGUAAUUUCAUUAAUUCAGUACUUAAGGUCUUCCCUCGUCAAACGAAUCAAAAAAAAAGAAGGUUGGCUUUUCGCCGUGCUCCUUUUUUUCAGUUAUAGGGCGGAGAGAGGGAGGCAACUGAAACUUUUAGAGUCGAGUUUACGCUCUUUCCUCCUCUUUCGAUAAGCUUUUCAUAGCCGUAGUCGUACUCAAGUACCCUUGCAGGGGAAUCCACUUCUGAGAUGGAGAGAAUCCCGGGAUGCAUAUGCUCUUUUCAGGGUUGAAGGAAGAAGUAAGCGCAGCUAUUGGACUUCUUUGUGGUAUGGCAGCAGUAGCAAAGAAAGAAGCUGCUCACUCUGCUUUACCGAGAAAGGGAGCAGUGAGAAAGGGGUGACUAUCAUACGGAAAUGAAACUAGUAAAGUAAGAUGCCGGAACUCUUGCUUUCGUCUUGUCUUUACUCUUCCCCCAUCCUCUCGUCGCCUGUCGGCUCAACUCUGAUACCCGAAUCUCCUUUUGUUUGAAGUUUAUUGGACAUGAAUGAACCCGAACAGACGUACCCGCCGCUUCUGCUUUCUGCCAUAUGGGUUCAGUUUCAUAAUGUUAUUACCGGACUCCAUUUAUUGAAUUUGGUCUAGCUAUAUUACAAGCUUCUGUUUUUACGAUCAACAUCUAAUUAUAGUAGACAACCUACUUUCUUAAUAAAGAGAAGUUGGGGACAUAGUAAACCUCCUACUAUAAGAGCGAUUCCCUGGGACCGGAAGGGGAAAGAUUGAAUCUUGAAAGACUGAGUCCCCGGCUAGCAAGAUCGGGAGGGUUAGUGUCCUCUUAAGAAGGAAUACCCAACUUCUGGGGUCAGCUUCGAUCACGAGGAGAGAAGAGAGGACCAUUGAAAGUCUCAAUUCCUAUCCGCCCAAGGUAGAGAGUUCGAUUUCAAAUCCAACGAUUUAUUGACCUACGAAUCUGCUAUUACGCAACUCAACCCUUCUCCGCAAGCUCUUUCAGUUGUUGGAUGCGCAAAACAACCUAUUCCCCUUUACGACGACUCGGUGACCUUUGACACGUUACACCUGGUUGCACGUAAUCUUGACUUUCGCCCUUCACUCGUGCAGUUGGACUGACUAGUGACUUUAAAUUCAACCUUGAGACCGAGCCCUGCCUCUCACCUUUCGGUUCAUUGCAAGGAAAGACUAAAAAGAAAAAAGGAAGCUUUCGGCGGACACAAGCCCUCGGGACUUGACACUUGGACACCGGGAAGCUUGCCCCAGGGUCCUUCGUUUGGAACUGCCCUUUUCCUUUCCAAAGUGGAAUUCCUCCUUGCUUUCCCCUUUGACCUGUGCCAAACUCCACUUUUGCUGUUGCCAGGUGGAAUGAUUCAUUCAACCUCGGUAUCGGCAACCAAGACACCCUUCUCUGUCGAAUGAAUCUUCAAAUCAUCAUCUUCAAACCACGACUCCGAUCACGGUUUCCAGUUGACUUUAUCUCAGGUGACAGGGGCAGGAGAACACUUCACAAAAUGCGCUUUGACAGCGAGCGAGAUCUUUGAAAUUCAAUCAGAACAGCACUGGGUGGGUAAGAUAUAGGAUUCUUGUCUGAGUCGCGUGGAUCACAAAAUGGAUCUAUGAUUUCAAGUCCACUCGUUGAUUUCGAGAAAACCGAAUCAAUUGGCUUUUUUCCCAGCGAUGCCUCCAACUCGAGAUUUUGAUUCAUAGAACUGGCCAUCAAAUGUAUAUUCAUCCAUCUAUCAGCUGCGUCUUCUUUAGUGAAAUGAAAGAGGGACUCGUUUCAUAGGUAGCAAGGAUAGGAAGAAGGGGUUCAAUGAAGGCUGCUGUUGAAGUUUUUAUUCCAACUAGCGAGGAAAGGCCUCGUUUUGGUCCUGUAGAAUGAAUGUGAAAAGCAGAAUCCUCAGAAUCGUAUGAUUCAGAUACCUGACGAAAUGAACAGAUAAAAGAUCGGGAUAGCCGGGAUGACCUAUUUCAAGAUCAGAUGAUCCACCUUUUUGUCCGCUUGGGAGGGCUAACUCGGAUAGGUCAUAUACGAGGGAAAGAGCCCAUAAAAGAGAGAUCGGAUGCCCUUUCCGAUGCAGUUCACGAUGCGGAGCUGCCAACUAGCUAAGCUAGGUAGUUUGUUGUUAGAAUAUCUAUCCUAGUAGGAAGAUGGAAAGAAUAUACUAUACACUAUAGGAGAGUCAAAGAAUAGGACUGUUGGAACUAUAUCAAGAUUAGAAUGACAAGGAAUAUCCGUAUCCGUAUAUAAUAAGUUGGGCUCUAUCCUUCCCGCCCACCUCAUUAAUAUCUGGAGGGAAGAAUCCGAGGGUAGCCUGAUGAUUAAGGGACAGGGACACUGUCAACAGGGUAUGGUUCUUUUUUAUCACCCCGGAUGACGCACACUGCUUUAAAUAAAGCACAGUGAAUAAUGUGCCAGACCGCCUAACCAGUUGAACCGUUCUCUUAUAGAACGGGUAAGCCACAAAAGAAUGUUCCUUGCUUCCAGCUAUCCUCAUGAGUCAUUUUUGCUGUAAUCUGUCUCUCGAUAAGAAGCUUUCUUUUGAUCCGGUGUAAUCUCGCCUUCUUGAAGAAUUACGGAUUCCUAAACCUAGUAAGGGAAAGCGAUUCUACUCCAAUUGCAUUCAUCAGUUGGAUGAGAGUGAGAAUACAAAGGAAGCCGGGAGGAAGAAUGGAGUAUAGCAUUACCUCUAGAGUACAACCCUACUCCUGCGCCCUUCAAUCCCAUAUCUACUACUUAGUCAAGCCCUUAACUACUUCUAUAUCUUAGAACAACCCUGCUCUCUGAUCGACGUUUUAUAGUCUUCAUAUCUAUGGAAAGAGGAAGCUAGGAGAGGAUUCUAAACAAUUUUAUCGAGCCGAACAACAAAAAGAGAAAGAUAGAAUACCUUUCUUAGCUAGCCUAGCGUGCUAUAAACCUACAGGGAACAAGAGCCAGAUCGAAGACAUUCCUUUCCUUCUUUUAUACCCCUCUCUUCUUAGUUGCUCCUCUUUCUAGGGAUCUAAUGGUCGUAGACCACCUUCUUGUGACUAUGUUGAAGAAUUCUUUCCCCCCUUUGAGUUCUCGAGUGAAAGGGUCCAAGCCAUAGGAAAAUAUCCAGUUUCUCUCGCAACAUAUCUAGUUUAUCCUGAAGCAGCAUUUCUCGAAGUAGCAUUCCCAUAAGUAGAGGAUGAAACCCUUGCUUGUUUAUCCCGACGAGGGUUUAUGAAUCACUCAAACGAGCCUUUCUAGCCGCAUCUGAAUCGGCAUCCCUAUCCAUAUGUUUAUGCGCAGGGGCAUCCAAAUCCGAAUCUGUAGAAUCUAUUGGGGAAUCCCCAUCCGCACCCGAAUUGGCUAAAUCUAGUAUAGUGGGUCUUGUUCGGAUGCGGGAAAAAAUCUUUUUAAAAGGCAUAUCGGCGAAAGAGGACUGAGAACCAUAAGGCGAGCGCCAAAACGCUAGCACAAACUGCUCCCACAGACACGCAUGAUAAGGGGGUAUGGGGACAACCAGGCCACCACUUUUACCAGAUAUGGGUCCGGAUGACCCAAGAGCCCGCCACUAGAACCCAACCCUUAAGAGGCUAAGGUCCAAGGGGCUACCGCAGGAAGUAA
rnacentral:lncRNA from 1 species